GACGAACGCUGGCGGCGUGCUUAACACAUGCAAGUCGAACGAUGAAGCCGGAGCUUGCUCUGGUGAAUUAGUGGCGAACGGGUGAGUAACACGUGAGUAACCUGCCCUUGACUCUGGGAUAACUGCUAGAAAUGGUAGCUAAUACCGGAUACGACCCUCGGAGGCAUCUCCAGGGGGUGGAAAGAAUUUCGGUCAAGGAUGGACUCGCGGCCUAUCAGCUAGUUGACGAGGUAACGGCUCACCAAGGCGACGACGGGUAGCGGGCCUGAGAGGGUGGACGGCCACACUGGGACUGAGACACGGCCCAGACUCCUACGGGAGGCAGCAGUGGGGAAUAUUGCACGAUGGGCGCAAGCCUGAUGCAGCAACGCCGCGUGAGGGAUGACGGCCUUCGGGUUGUAAACCUCUUUUAGUAGGGAAGAAGCGAAAGUGACGGUACCUGCAGAAAAAGCACCGGCUAACUACGUGCCAGCCGCCGCAGUAA
rnacentral:rRNA from 1 species